GGUUCACGGCUUUCUCCCAGGUGAAUCCUUCUCUAAAAACAUGGGUGAUGUUGGCCUCUCCAGUACAGGACACACUCAGAAUUACAAAUCUAAGAACCAUUCUGGAACUUUCUUAGGCUAUGAAGAAGUCUACCAUGCGUAUCUUCCCUGUGACCUCUUCGGCUUGGUCUCUGGAUGUCCUCUCCCCUUGUGACAUGAUUGCAUCCUAACUACGAGUUUUCAGCUGCUCACACUGUGAAAUCAAAUAAAAUCCCCACAAUGUGGCCCCAUGAAUGAAAGCCCCCCUUCCACAGAAACUCACUGGCACACCAACCAAGGGCACUAUCCAAGAUUCUUCUUAAGAAAUGCAGCCUCCAAAACAGAGGCCAGUGGUGGCCAAUGAUGGCCCUGAUCAGGUAGAAUUCUCUGUAGGAAGGUAUUGUUGGUAGUGUUGUGGUUCUAUAUCAUGAACAAAAGACUGUGAGCGCUA
rnacentral:lncRNA from 1 species